rnacentral:tRNA from 4 species
GGAGAGGUCGCGUAGCUGGUUUAGCGCGCACGCCUGGAGAGCGUGUGACCCACAAGGUCCGAGAGUUCGAAUCUCUCCCUCUCCG